CAGAUUGGAUGUGGCUAUUUGGCCUGGAGGCUAAAGACCAUCCAGUGCAACAUUUUGCUUCCGUGCCGGAAACUCUCUACCGGCGCAACCGAUCAAGAUAGUAAAGUGAGUUUCUUCUGACUGACAUGCAACUGCUUGGAGAGGAUGGUCAUGGACGAUAUCCUUUAUGAAGCAUUCAACUGAUCGAUUAUCAAAGAGAAGAUGAGGGCCACAUUUCAAUAUCGUCAGUCACUGGUUCAGGAUCAGCAACAGUCGUCAAUAGACUUGAAUGUGUUCCCAUGAUUCCUUGACAACCCUGGUUUGAUUGAACAAGACUUCACCAUGAUGUUUGGAGAGGAGGUGUCUGGCAGACUUUUGGCAAAAUAGCCCACUUAUUUUAAACCCAGGAUCCUGCAAGAACCUGACUUCCUGAGCAUGUUGAAGAGCUCUUGUGUGCAGAGCAAAACUCUGAUGGGACAGGAUGGGACAGUGACCAGUCAAGUAUUGUACUGCUGGUUCACAUGCUUCCAUCUACCUCCAAAGGCCACAAGAAGAGUGCCAAAAUGAUCUCAUAUCAAGCCUUUGACCAUGUUGUAAGACAUCUGCGGAUUGGAACCAGUGUUGAAACCUUCUAUGCAGGUGUGCAGGACAGCCCUUUAUCCUGUGUGUUGGUGGGCAGAGGAACAACAUCCAAAGGUUCUAUGUCAUCCUUGAUCACGAGCCCAUUCCUUGCAAAGCGCAAACAUCAGUGGCAGCUUUUGAUGAGCUCUUCAGAGCACACUUCAUCUUCAGUGUCAACUACCCCAAAUCCAUCUAAAACUUAUACACAUUUACUCAAACCACGGUGUUCAACAUCUGCGAUGGAAGUGCCAAAGAAAAUCCCAGAGUCAUGGAGCUCAGAGCAACACUUGAGGUUAUAAAUAUGCUUAGUCAGCAGUUAAGGCUACAUCAUGGUUUAUAUCCUUGAAAAAUACAAUUUUACGUUUGCAAUGUGGACAGCUGCGGUGUUGCACGUUUUCAGUUUUCAAGAAACACCUUAAUAAUUUCCACAGGAAAUUUUUUUGAAUGAAUACUGUUGUCAAUGUGGACAUUCAUAAUGAAGCUGAUGAGCCCUCAUCUUCUCAAGCAGUCUGUAUAGACACCCCAUUUGCCGCCCAACAGUCUGUUGAGAAUCAUCACGUGGUAAAUAUGUGUUAUUCUGUUGUAGCACAGCUACAAGCGCAUGGUGUUGGUGAAAGCACAGUUCAAGCAAUAAUAGAAUCCAUUGAGGAACUUGUAAAGGACAUUCAUUGUCAAGUAAAAGAGGCAGUUAACAGCUGUAUUUCAGUCAUUCAGACUCAAAGACAUGAAGAAAUAUGGAUUUGAUGAUACACUAAGGCCUCUAAUUGAUCAUUUUAAUACACUUGAAGCACAAGGAAUUGAAGUGCCUUUGCUGGGUUUACAUGGACUGGUUUUGUUGGGUCCUUUAGUGGUACAUAUUGCUGUAGAGUAAAGAUGAGGUACAAUCUAUCUUCACUGAAGAUGACCCUGGCAUGAUUUUUCAUACAAAAGAAAUCUAUACACAGCAUUGUGCAUCUCUGUAGAAAACUCCAAAGUUGGAUUUAACAUUUGGGGUCAAAAAGACAUUCUUGCUCAAUACAUUGCAUCUUUCCACAAUUCUAAUAACUAUGCAGUUGACAUAAUGCGAUUUGCUUGAUUGGUGUAGUGCAGUAUGAACUGAAACAUGUAUUUCAAUACCUUGUUUACCAGACGUAUCUGUCUUUGGAAGCAUUGCCACAGAGGAUCCUAUGUUUCAAUUAUACUGAGAGAAAAAACAGACCAAGUGGGGUGAAAAUGGAUGUGAGCAAGGAUCUUGGAUUAAAUGCUAGUAUGGUUUAGAGACAGUGGCAUUAAGUAAAAGACAG